GCAGCAGCCGCGGUAAUACGGAGGGUGCAAGCGUUAAUCGGAAUUACUGGGCGUAAAGCGCACGCAGGCGGUCUGACAAGUCAGAUGUGAAAUCCCCGGGCUUAACCUGGGAACUGCAUUUGAAACUGUCAGGCUGGAGUCUUGUAGAGGGGGGUAGAAUUCCAGGUGUAGCGGUGAAAUGCGUAGAGAUCUGGAGGAAUACCGGUGGCGAAGGCGGCCCCCUGGACAAAGACUGACGCUCAGGUGCGAAAGCGUGGGGAGCAAACAGGAUUAGAUACCCCGGUAGUCCCUGUCUCUUAUAC
rnacentral:rRNA from 1 species